UCUCAACCAGGGAAAUGACUCAGCGGUGAGGCAGCAUCCAACUCUGAUACAGUGCAAGGACUGGGCCUGCCCCAGAAACACCUAAGGGCCCUGCCCCUUUGUGCCAGGUGCACCAGGUGUGGAUAGGCAGGCUCAGCCCAACAGGAUCCAAGUGUGGCGGGGCUUAGUAUGGUGGGAUCCAGGUGUGGGUUGAGAUGGUUGAGAUGUGGGGCAAUCUGGGUGCAGGAGGAUCUGAAUACACAGGAGCUUGUGG